UCUCCUGAUUCUUCUCUCCCCUUCCCCCUCUCCACCCACAGAUCUCGAUCGCUUUCCUCCUCCCAGCCACCCCCAACGAGCCGCUGCCUGCCUCUGUCAAGCUGCCUGUGGCUUUCGACUGGAGCCCGGAGGAAGGCGAGGAGAGGGGCUUCGGCUUUGCGCCUCCACGAUCUCUCCCCUUUUUAUGAUUAUCUGUUAAACUUUCUCUCGAGCCUCAUCCUCAUCCUCAUCGCCGCCCGCCAUCCCCCCCGCCACCGCCAUCCCCGCCACCAUUCUUCUCCCUUCCUCCGGCACUUGUGGGCAAAGGGGCAUCGAUCUUCGAUCAGGAAGAUGGCUGCUGGCUGGUGGCUCUUCUGGAGCCUGACACUUUCCCAGUCCUUGGUGAUAAACAUCUCCGCGGAAGGGCCCUUCCCUUCUGCCACAACGGAAAUGACCAAGGAAAGCAUUUUGUACUAAGAUCCAAACCGGUGAUUACCAGAAAGUGAUUGAUUCUGCCCAGUGAUCAUAUGUAAUCCUCGAAGGCUUUCACAGCUGGGAUCUGAUGGUUGUUGUGGGUUUUUCGGGCUCUUUGGCCGUGUUCUUAAGAGCACAGGCAGGACUUCUGACUCCUGUCCUCUGAAGAUGCCGGCCACAGAGACUGUCGAAAUGUUAGGAAGAACAACCUUCAGAACACGGCCAAAGAGCCCCAAAAAACCACAACAACCAUUGAUUAUAUGUAACUUCAGCUGCAACAUUUUAAAGAAGAACCCACAAGGUUGUUUUAUAGUUUUGGGGAAAUGGAGGUGGGAGAGUGGGCAGGGGGCUGCGAGGCUGAAUGCGGCAGUGGCACUGGGGGAGGAUUGAUUAAUGUGUUCUUUUAAAUGGCUUUUUGCAAGCAAAUCACACCCUCUGAGUUCUCUUUUUCCUUCCUGCAGAUGGGAAAGAAUAGCAAACACAGAGUUGUAAAAAAUCCUCAGUUUGGAGGGAUGUAAGAUGCAAAAUUUUUCCCAAGGAACUGUAUUGGGGUUGUUGCUUCUUAGCUUCUUCAUCUGCGAUCUUGAGUUGGUCUUGGCCACUGAAAUGGCCAAAUUUGUGAAUGGCAGACUAUUUUUUUUGCUAUGAAAAGAAAGAGAACGACUCUUAAUAGUUUUCUUCAGUGUGGGCAAUUAAGAAUAGCAAAUGCAAUUCAAUGUAAGCAAGUAUUAGGUGAUGUCCAUAAUGGCAAAAUAAAUCCUUCCUUAACAUAUAGACUGGUGUGGGC
rnacentral:lncRNA from 1 species